rnacentral:piRNA from 1 species
CUAUUGCAUCAAAUUUGUGCUGUCCAC